rnacentral:rRNA from 1 species
GUGAAUAUCGGCGCGCGAGGUGGUGGAGAAGGAAGGUGGCUAGAGUUGGACGGAAGCACUGGGCGUAAAGAGAACGGAGGAGGAUGUGUGAGGCAGGGGUGAAAGCCCGGGGCGCAACCUCGGAACUGCCUUUGAUACUGCAAAUCUAGAGUCCGAUAGAGGUGGGUGGAAUUCCGAGGGUAGAGGUGAAAUUCGUAGAUAUUAGGAAGAACACCGGUGGCGAAGGCGGCCCACUGGAUCGGUACUGACGCUGAGGUGCGAAAGCGUGGGGAGCAAACAGGAUUAGAUACCCCAGUAGUC